rnacentral:rRNA from 1 species
CUACGGGACGCUCCAGUGAGGAAUAUUGCACAAUGGGGGGAACCCUGAUGCAGCAACGCCGCGUGGAGGAUGACGCAUUUCGGUGUGUAAACUCCUUUUAUAUGUCAAGAAAAUGACGGUAGCAUAUGAAUAAGCACCGGCUAACUCCGUGCCAGCAGCCGCGGUAAUACGGAGGGGGCAAGCGUUACUCGGAAUCACUGGGCGUAAAGGACGCGUAGGCGGGUUGGAAAGUCAGGUGUGAAAUCCUACAGCUUAACUGUAGAACUGCACUUGAAACUUCUAAGCUAGAGUAUGGGAGGGGAGAUGGAAUUAGUGGUGUAGGGGUAAAAUCCGUAGAUAUCACUAGGAAUACCUAAAGCGAAGGCGAUCUCCUGGAACAUUACUGACGCUAAGGCGUGAAAACGUGGGGAGCAAGCAGGAUUAGAUACCCGCGUAGUC